AGUUGAUUUCAUGAAUUGCUUCGAAAGACAAGAGGUUGAGCUUGGAGAGAUUUGUACACACAUUUUGAAAGUGAAUAUGAAUGACCCACAUUGUUUGUGUCAGAUUAAAGAAGCAAGACUAAAGGUCAAUUGUGAGCUAUUACAAAAGCAAGUUACAGAAGAAAAAGAAAAUGUUUCGAAGAUGACUGUUCAGUACAACACAUUGCUGAACGAUCACAGUAUGGAAAAUAGUUUUUAU